GUUAUCAAAAUAACAAACCCAGAUAAUGCUUCCCCUGAAACCGAAACUGUCUCAAUUAGUUUAUGUGUCACUUCACCAAUGUUGACUAGGAUGAUGAUAAACCUAGCACAACACAGGGGCCUCUGAAAAGCUCAGUCUGGGAAGAUGUCCUUGGCUCCAAGGUAGAAGGACCUAGUGGAGAGGAUGCUAUAGCCUGCCAGCAGCAUGGCUUAUAACAAGAUCUCAAUUUACAUCAUGGUUACAGCACGUGUGGUACAGUCAGCUGGUGCUUUGAUUCUGCAGUGCCUUCCCAUCAGAGCCCUUUAUUUGCAAGCAAACUCUCUGGAGAUGAAUACCUGGUUUGGGGGAAAGUAAUUAGCUAAUUAAUUCCACUCAGACAUUGUUACUGAGUAUCUAAGAUGUGCUAGGCAUAUUAGUGGCAAUUGAAGAAGCCAUACGUUUUAUAUAUUUAUUACCCUUCUAAAUACCAUCAGAGUCACAGUUCAAGAUUCUGGGAUGCAACAGAAUGAACCAACUACCUCUUUUCAAAGAUCUACAAUCGCUGGUAAGUUCCCAAGUCUUUCUAACCCAGGACAACCAUCUUUAGUUCCAGGGAUAGACUUCUACUAUCUUAGGCUGUCCUCUGUUUUGUCUCUUGUUUCUCAUAUUGCCUUUAAAACAUGGUGCCCCGUGUCCACUCCAACUGGAAUGUACCAGUACACUGUAUUAGAAUGACUACCCCUCUUACCAUGAAGCUUCAAACUUCUAUUCAUUGGCCCAUAGUUUCCUUUUAUUCUUUUCAUUUUGAAGUUCCAUAUAGCUCUCUGCAUCAAGGAUGGCCAAUUUUGCAUAAAAA